UAUACACAUUCACUUAAAGAGUGCACAUGGUACUCCAACCUAUAAAUGUUGUGGGACAAAUCAUAUAAGUAGUCCCUUGCUUCCGCUCAUACAUAUCAGUCUGAAGAGGUACAAUGUGCAUAGAAUUUUCAGAAGCAGCAAAACAAUCCUCACUCCAACACAUAUAAUCUAGAAUAAAAAAAUCAUUCGAACUUCUCAUGGACUAAUAACCAGGAUUUAAAAAAAAAUGAUUUAGGGCAAGAAAAUAUGACAUAUUUGGAGGAUCUACUUAUCCAGUACAUUACAAAGAUCAAUAUUACAUUGCAAAAUCAGCAAGCCUCUAUUAAAAAAUUGAAAAUUCAAGUGGGAUAGAUAGUAGUUAGAUUGUCCAACAGAACAUAAGGUACCAUGCCAAGCAAUACAGAAACAAAUCCACGAGAACAUGUGUUAGCUAUCAGAGAUUUAGAGAAUGAUAUGGUGACACGCCAUUAAUUAAAUUUGCUAUUCUUGUAUGAGCUAUGUAUCGUCAGUCCCAUUCCCUCAGAGGCUUCGAAAGCGGUUUAAAGAGGAACAUGUUUAGGUUAUCACAAGGAGUGAAAUUCGAUUGUCAGAAAUCAACAUAAAAAGGAAAGAGACCAAGGAUAAUCAAGUACCUACCAUGGGCAAGGAACAAGUUCGAUCUAAAGAAUCAACAAAAGUCAAUUAAGGAAAAUAUUCAAAGAGUUACAACAAUCGUUCUUUUCAAUUC
rnacentral:lncRNA from 1 species